UACAGAGGUCUCAAGCGUUGUUCGGAUUCAUUGGGCGUAAAGGGUGCGUAGGUGGCGCGCUAAGUCAGGUGUGAAAUCUCGGAGCUUAACUCCGAAACUGCAUUCGAUACUGCCGUGCUUGAGGACUGGAGAGGAGACUGGAAUUUACGGUGUAGCGGUGAAAUGCGUAGAUAUCGUAAGGAAGACCAGUGGCGAAGGCGGGUCUCUGGACAGUUCCUGACGCUGAGGCACGAAGGUCAGGGGAGCAAAACGGGG
rnacentral:rRNA from 1 species